UUGACCUCAAAUCGGGUGAGACUACCCGCUGAACUUAAGCAUAUCAAUAAGCGGAGGAAAAGAAACUAACAAGGAUUCCCCUAGUAACUGCGAGUGAAGCGGGAAAAGCUCAAAUUUAAAAUCUGGUGGUCUUUGACCAUCCGAGUUGUAAUUUAGAGAAGCGUCUUCCGCGCUGGACCGUGCACAAGUCUCCUGGAAUGGAGCGUCAUAGAGGGUGAGAAUCCCGUCUUUGGCAUGGAAUCCCAGGGCUUCUGUGAUGCGCUCUCGACGAGUCGAGUUGUUUGGGAAUGCAGCUCAAAAUGGGUGGUGAACUCCAUCUAAAGCUAAAUAUUGGCGAGAGACCGAUAGCGAACAAGUACCGUGAGGGAAAGAUGAAAAGCACUUUGGAAAGAGAGUGAAACAGUACGUGAAAUUGUUGAAAGGGAAACGCUUGAAGUCAGUCGCGUCGACCGAGACUCAGCCUUGCCUCGGCUUGGUGUACUUCUCGGCUGACGGGUCAGCAUCGAUUUCGAUCCUCGGAUAAUGGCAAGGGAAAGGUAGCACCUUUUAGGUGUGUUAUAGUCCUCUGUCGCAUGCGAGGGUUGGGAUCGAGGAACUCAGCACGCACCUCAGGGUGUCGGGGCCUUGGCCCACGUUUACGUGCUUAGGAUGCUGGCGUAAUGGCUUUAAACGACCCGUC
rnacentral:rRNA from 1 species